rnacentral:rRNA from 1 species
AAAGGAAUUUGACGGGGACCCGCACAAGCGGUGGAUGAUGUGGAUUAAUUCGAUGCAACGCGGAAAACCUUACCUACCCUUGACAUGUCACUAACGAAGUAGAGAUACAUUAGGUGCCGGUAAGGGGAAAGUGAACACAGGUGCUGCAUGGCUGUCGUCAGCUCGUGUCGUGAGAUGUUGGGUUAAGUCCCGCAACGAGCGCAACCCUUGUCUUUAGUUGCUACGCAAGAGCACUCUAAAGAGACUGCCGGUGACAAACCGGAGGAAGGUGGGGAUGACGUCAAGUCCUCAUGGCCCUUAUGAGUAGGGCUUCACACGUCAUACAAUGGUGCAUACAGAGGGUUGCCAACCCGCGAGGGGGAGCUAAUCUCAGAAAAUGCAUCGUAGUCCGGAUCGUAGUCUGCAACUCGACUACGUGAAGCUGGAAUCGCUAGUAAUCGCGGAUCAGAAUGUCGCGGUGAAUACGUUCCCGGGUCUUGUACACACCGCCCGUGAAUCGAAUU